CCUACGGGAGGCUGCAGUAGGGAAUCUUCCACAAUGGGCGAAAGCCUGAUGGAGCAACGCCGCGUGGGUGAAGAAGGUCUUCGGAUCGUAAAACCCUGUUGUUAGAGAAGAAAGUGCGUGAGAGUAACUGUUCACGUUUCGACGGUAUCUAACCAGAAAGCCACGGCUAACUACGUGCCAGCAGCCGCGGUAAUACGUAGGUGGCAAGCGUUAUCCGGAUUUAUUGGGCGUAAAGGGAACGCAGGCGGUCUUUUAAGUCUGAUGUGAAAGCCUUCGGCUUAACCGGGGUAGUGCAUUGGAGACUGGGAGACUGGAGUGCAGAAGAGGAGAGUGGAACUCCAGGUGUAGCGGUGAAAUGCGUAGAUAUAUGGAAGAACACCAGUGGCGAAAGCGGCUCUCUGGUCUGUAGCUGACGCUGAGGUUCGAAAGCGUGGGUAGCAAACAGGAUUAGAUACCCCAGUAGUC
rnacentral:rRNA from 1 species